GCGCGAGUGGUGGAAUUGGCAGACACGCCAGCUUGAGGGGCUGGUGGGCAUUAUCGCCCGUGGGGGUUCAAGUCCCCCCUCGCGCACCA
rnacentral:tRNA from 1 species